rnacentral:rRNA from 1 species
UACGAAGGGGGCUAGCGUUGCUCGGAAUCACUGGGCGUAAAGCGCACGUAGGCGGAUCUUUAAGUCAGGGGUGAAAUCCUGGAGCUCAACUCCAGAACUGCCUUUGAUACUGGCAUACUUGAGGCUGGAAGAGGUUAGUGGAAUUCCCAGUGUAGAGGUGAAAUUCGUAGAUAUCGUAAGGAAGACCAGUGGCGAAGGCGAAUCUCUGGACAGUUACUGACACUGAGGCACGAAGGCCAGGGGAGCAAACGG